CUGCAGAAUGCGCUUAGCACAGUGAGUGGAGUUUGGGCAUGCGUAGAACGCACCUGCAUCGCCAGUGAAAGUAGACGCCUAGUCGGUGACUAACUUUGGGCGAGGUCAGCUUUUAUCCGUGCCAUUUGUUGUUACUUUCCGAUGUUAUAAGUGAUAUCAACAACCUUACAACAUGCCGUUGAUGUAUAGCUGUGGGUGCUGCAGCCUUAAGGCCGGCAACAUGGUGUGUUGUAUAUUAAUACUGAUUGAAAUGGUGAUUAAUUUGGUGAUCUACGUCUACGGAGUGCUACAACUUCUCAUGGAGAAGCCAAAUCUCGAUGAAGAACUGUACAUCGGAAUGGAAGUCGCAUACUACGUGUUGAUUGGUCUAUUUGUUAUCGUCAUGGUUAUGACUAGUAUAUAUUUCUGUGGGGCAGUCAAGGGGCAUCCUGGUUUGUUGGUUGGUUGGAUCGUAACUCUAGUAAUAUACAUGGUAUUAGAAUUAGCCGCCACAGUGUAUCUAACUUAUAUCUAUCACAACUUUCUUGGUGGGUUGGAGAAUAAUAUUUUCGCCCUCUCGUUAUUAAUAUGGUAUAUACUUCGGACAUUACUUCAUAAUAAUGGUUGCAUCUAAUAUUAAAAUAAAGAUGGCGGAGUAUAGCGUUGAUUCAUCUCGUUCUACUCUGGAUUACUUGGAGUCAAUAAAGAUCCUAGAAAAUGCUCUAUCUUAUGAGUGCAGUUUCACAAUACCAAGAAAUUACAGAAAAACAGAAGAAAAUACAUCGGCACAGGAUGCUGCAAGAUUCCGAAGAACACGGAGUUUGAAGGCGUGUCACCUGAGUCCUCAGUGAACACCAGGAAUUAUUGUAUUUGGUUGAACAUUUAAAUACACGUUAUAUUACAUUAUAUCUUUGUCGCAGGAAGUGUCAUCGUUUUGUGAUUUUUAAACUAACCAAAUCGCGUCUUAUUCUAAAUGCCAUUAUAGUUGUCUAUAUGCAGCGUGUUUGAAUACUACAUAUUUUACGCAGCACAGUUUCCAAUGAGUCAGCAAAUUUUUCAACUGCAAGUCCAUACGAUUCAUAAUUUGCUAUGUGCGUCCAUGUUGAAACAUUACAUAUAAUUUUUUGUCAAUUAUAUUGUAAAUUCAAUUUCUAUAAAGUUUGAUAGGAAUAGUAGUUACUCCAUGAGAUAAUGUCUAGUUUGUUGACUAUAGUGUAUCUCAAUUCCCCACCAUAAGUAGUAUUUCAACUACUAAAAAACACGUCAAGUUUAUUUAUGCCUAAUGUUCAUUUUAAUUUCGUGGGGCAAAUCUCGUGUCAUAUAUACUCACGUUUUAUAUCGUUUUAAUAACAAAAUAUGUAAACUUUUAACAAGAAGAUUAUAGAAAUAUCACAUUAAUAUAUUUGCCAUUUACGUGUGAUAUUUUUGUACCGAAAUAAAAUUUAUUAAAAUACAA